rnacentral:rRNA from 1 species
UACGAAGGGGGCUAGCGUUGCUCGGAAUCACUGGGCGUAAAGGGUGCGUAGGCGGGUCUUUAAGUCAGGGGUGAAAUCCUGGAGCUCAACUCCAGAACUGCCUUUGAUACUGAGGAUCUUGAGUUCGGAGAGGUGAGUGGAACUGCGAGUGUAGAGGUGAAAUUCGUAGAUAUUCGCAAGAACACCAGUGGCGAAGGCGGCUCACUGGCCCGAUACUGACGCUGAGGCACGAAAGCGUGGGGAGCAAACAGG